UGUGUUGUAGUCUGGUCGCCAGAAAACUCGGUUGAUAUGUUUUGUGAAAGCUCUGCAAGCCAUGAACAGAGAUGCCGUCAGCAAGGCGUGAAAAUGCUUAUUUUACCACAGAAAUAAUUAAAAUCUAAAAAAAUAUAAAUACCUAUUGGCCAUAGAAACUCAUGAUAAACUGAGGAGUCCGCGAUAUAAUUUUACACAUAUUAGCGAGAAAAAUCCGCAACGUGAUGAAGAUGCGAUCGGUAAACUGUGAUAUGAUUGAAGGAGACGGAUGCGGCAGCACUUUGAACACACCCUACAAAACACUGCUUGUCACAGACGACUAGUUCGCAGAAUGCAGUCGGGACUUGAGGACAAUUUCGAAGCUUGUUGUGCAAUGAAGCUUUGUGCUGUUGAAACUUAUAAAAUGUCCCAGAUCGCUUAUGAAUUAACUUGUAUUAGCCGAACAUCUGUUUUCGCUGGCACAAGAGGUUCAAGAACGCUAGAGAGGAGGUGGGAAACGAUAAGAGGUGUUGGAGGGAGAACAUCAGAACAUCAGAGCCGGUUAGGAAGAUUCGCUAUUUUAUGGAGGUAGACUGAAUACUAUUGUCAAUAAAGACAAUAGUAUUCAGUUUGGAGUUGGUGUAGCGACAGUACACAGAAUUAUUCAAGAAGAUAUGAACACGUGCAAAAUGUGUAGAAAAAUUGUUCCCAGAGUACUCAUUGACGAACACAAGAAAAGAGGUGUUGGUGAUAACAGGGAGAUGGCUGAGCUCAUGACCUCCCAUCUAAAAAUACUUGAGUCUCUGGUGACCUGUGAGAAAAGCUGGCUCUACUGUUAUGAUCCAGAGACCAAAAGAUAGACUUCCCAAUGGAAACAUCUUGGUUCUCGCAGACCCAAGAAGGCUAGGCAAAGCAAGUUCCCCGGGACGUUCUUGAUGUUCCCCUUUUUCAACAGCAAAGGCGUCAUUUACAUCCACUGGGGUUUCUUUGUCCUGAAAGUCAGCAAAGAGUAUUUUGUAACAAUCUUAAAGGGAUUCAAGAAGAGAUUUCGUUGUAAAAGGCCAGAGCUCUCUCAUUCGACUUGGUGGCAUCUGAACCAGAGCAAUGCAUCACACCGCAGUUCUAUCCUAAUAAAAAACUACUUGACAAAGAUAGGCAUCAUAGCUGUCCCUCCCCUCCUUACAGUUUAGACCUUACUCACCGUGACUUUUGGCUGUUCCUCAAGCUGAAAGAGAACCUCAGGGAAAAUGGUUUUGAAGACACUGAGAAGAUGAAGGUAAUCGUGACAGGGUUCCUCGACACCUUCACUUCGGAGGACUUCCCCAGGCCUUCAUUAAGUGUGGGCGGAUUGCUAUAAGUGCAUUGAAGUCAGAGGAUCCUACUUUGAAAGUGAUUACAGUCUUGUACUUUGAAAUUAAUAAAUGUCUCCUGAAAAUA